rnacentral:rRNA from 1 species
AUUGAACGCUGGCGGCAUGCCUUACACAUGCAAGUCGAACGGUAACAGGUCUUCGGAUGCUGACGAGUGGCGCACGGGUGAGUAAUACAUCGGAACGUGCCCGAUCGUGGGGGCUAACGAAGCGAAAGCUUUGCUAAUACCGCAUAAGAUCUACGGAUGAAAGAAGGGGACCGCAAGGCCUUGCGCGAACGGAGCGGCCGAUGGCAGAUUAGGUAGUUGGUGGGAUAAAAGCUUACCAAGCCGACGAUCUGUAGCUGGUCUGAGAGGACGACCAGCCACACUGGGACUGAGACACGGCCCAGACUCCUACGGGAGGCAGCAGUGGGGAAUUUUGGACAAUGGGCGAAAGCCUGAUCCAGCCAUGCCGCGUGCAGGAUGAAGGCCUUCGGGUUGUAAACUGCUUUUGUACGGAACGAAAAGACUCUGGUUAAUACCUGGGGUCCAUGACGGUACCGGAAGAAUAAGCACCGGCUAACUACGUG